rnacentral:rRNA from 1 species
UGGGGAAUAUUGGACAAUGGGCGAAAGCCUGAUCCAGCCAUGCCGCGUGGAUGAUGAAGGCCUUAGGGUUGUAAAAUCCUUUCGUUGGGGACGAUAAUGACGGUACCCAAAGAAGAAGCUCCGGCUAACUUCGUGCCAGCAGCCGCGGUAAUACGAAGGGGGCUAGCGUUGUUCGGAUUUACUGGGCGUAAAGCGCGUGUAGGCGGAUUUGUAAGUUGGGGGUGAAAUCCCGAGGCUCAACCUCGGAACUGCCUCCAAAACUACAAGUCUGGACCUAAGUAGAGGCAAGUGGAAUUGCGAGUGUAGAGGUGAAAUUCGUAGAUAUUCGCAGGAACACCAGUGGCGAAGGCGACUUGCUGGACUUAUGGUGACGCUGAGACGCGAAAGCGUGGGGAGCAAACAGGAUUAGAUACCCCUGUAGUCCCUGAGCGGGCUGGCAAGGCGCAU